rnacentral:rRNA from 1 species
UACGGGGGGGGCAAGCGUUGUUCGGAAUUACUGGGCGUAAAGGGCUCGUAGGCGGCCAACUAAGUCAGACGUGAAAUCCCUCGGCUUAACCGGGGAACUGCCUCUGAUACUGGAUGGCUUGAGAUUGGGAGAGGGAUGCGGAAUUCCAGGUGUAGCGGUGAAAUGCGUAGAUAUCUGGAGGAACACCGGUGGCGAAGGCGGCAUCCUGGACCGGUAUUGACACUGAGGCGCGAAAGCCAGGGGAGCAAACGGG